rnacentral:tRNA from 1 species
UGACGCUUAGUUCAGCGGUAAGAGCAGCGGCCUCAUAAGCCGAAUGUCGCCGGUUCGAAUCCGGCAGCGUCAA